AUAGGAUGGGUCUGCGGCGUAUCAGUUCGUAGGGGGUGUAAUGGACCUCCUAGCCAUCGACGCGUACGGGUGUUGGGAGACAUAGCCCGGAGAUGGAUUCUGAGACACGAAUCCAGACCCUAUGGGGUGCAGCAGGCGCGAAAACUUCACACUGCAGGAAACUGUGAUGAGGGAACUCCAAGUGCUAUCACCAUGUGGUAGCUUUUCUUAACUAUUAAUCGGUUUUGGAAUAAGGGCUGGGAAAGACCGGUGCCAGCCGCCGCGGUAAUACCGGCAGCUCAAGUGGUCGUCGCUUUUAUUGGGCCUAAAACGUCCGUAGCCUGUUUGGUAAAUCUGUGGGUAAAUCAACCAGCUUAACUGGUUGAAUUCUGCAGAGACUGCCAGACUAGGGACCGGGAGAGGUGUGGGGUACUCUAGGGGUAGGGGUAAAAUCCUGUCAUCCUUAGAGGACCAUCAGUUGCGCAGGCGCCACACUGGAACGGAUCCGACGGUCAGGGACGAAGCCUAGGGGCACGAACCGGAUUAGAUACCCGGGUAGUCCUAGGUGUAAACGCUGUGAACUUGGUGUCGGGGAUCCGUAAUGGGUUCUCGGUGCCGGAGUGAAGAUGUUAAGUUCACUGCCUGGGGAGUACGGUCGCAAGGUUGAAACUUAAAGGAAUUGGCGGGGCAGCAC
rnacentral:rRNA from 1 species